UGAAACUUUUCUCAUUUAGUGCUAAUAGUUUCUGUUGUUGCUGUCACAUAAAAAAGUUGUUUACAAAAAUUGUGAUAAAUCUCCAAACUGACCUACGAUCUGAAGGCCAGCAACAUUUGCCCAGUUAAAGUUCUCUCAGCUCGAGGGUUCUUCUAGGGCAAACAAAUAAUAUGCUGCAGAUGGAAUCAACUUGGACUUAUCUUGGCCAGACAACAAUGUAUAGAAAUUGCACACAGAAAUAAAAAUAAAAGAGUAAAAGACAAUUGCAAUUGAUAAGCAGCAGAGGAGAAAGACGAACAAGAGCAAUAAACGAAAGAAUAUACAAACUGUGGCAAACAUUAGAGAUGUGCAAAAUGAACAGAAGCAGAAAUACAAUGAAAAAGACAUCAAUGUACUUGCAACUUGGUUAAUAUUACAUUAGUUAUAGAAACACUGUAAAUGGUUAAGUAGAAAAGAUGGAUAUUCAUAUAAACACAGUGACUGGGCAUAUGGCCAGCCAAUAUGCAUUUAUUAUACGAGCGAACGAGGGCGUGGCAGAUGCCAGAGCAUCGACAGAGCAACAACAAAAAAGUCGAAACUAAAUACCGAAACCAGAGCAGUAAAUGAAAAGAUUUUGAGGCAGCAAAAA